rnacentral:rRNA from 1 species
CCUACGGGUGGCAGCAGUGGGGAAUAUUGGACAAUGGGGGGAACCCUGAUCCAGCCAUGCCGCGUGUGUGAAGAAGGCCCUCGGGUUGUAAAGCACUUUCAGUGAGGAAGAACGCCUGGUGGUUAAUACCCAUCAGGAAAGACAUCACUCACAGAAGAAGCACCGGCUAACUCCGUGCCAGUAGCCGCGGUAAUACGGAGGGUGCGAGCGUUAAUCGGAAUUACUGGGCGUAAAGCGCGCGUAGGUGGCUUGAUAAGCCGGUUGUGAAAGCCCCGGGCUCAACCUGGGAACGGCAUCCGGAACUGUCAAGCUAGAGUGCAGGAGAGGAAGGUAGAAUUCCCGGUGUAGCGGUGAAAUGCGUAGAGAUCGGGAGGAAUACCAGUGGCGAAGGCGGCCUUCUGGACUGACACUGACACUGAGGUGCGAAAGCGUGGGUAGCAAACAGGAUUAGAUACCCUAGUAGUC